rnacentral:rRNA from 1 species
AGAGUUUGAUCCUGGCUCAGGAUGAAUUCUGGCGGCGUGCUUAACACAUGCAAGUCGAACGAUGACUUUUGUGCUUGCACAAAAUGAUUAGUGGCGAACGGGUGAGUAACACGUGAGUAACCUGCCCUUAACUUCGGGAUAAGCCUGGGAAACCGGGCCUAAUACCGGAUACGACGGAUUCCCGCAUGGGGGUCCGUGGAAAGCUUGAUGCGGUUUUGGAUGGACUCGCGGCCUAUCAGCUAGUUGGUUGGGGUAAUGGCCCACCAAGGCGACGACGGGUAGCCGGCCUGAGAGGGUGACCGGCCACACUGGGACUGAGACACGGCCCAGACUCCUACGGGAGGCAGCAGUGGGGAAUAUUGCACAAUGGGCGAAAGCCUGAUGCAGCGACGCCGCGUGAGGGACGAAGGCCUUCGGGUUGUAAACCUCUUUCAGCAGGGAAGAAGCGAAAGUGACGGUACCUGCAGAAGAAGCGCCGGCUAACUACGUGCCAGCAGCCGCGGUAAUACGUAGGGCGCAAGCGUUAUCCGGAAUUAUUGGGCGUAAAGAGCUCGUAGGCGGUUUGUCGCGUCUGCUGUGAAAGCCCGGGGCUCAACCCCGGGUCUGCAGUGGGUACGGGCAGACUAGAGUGCAGUAGGGGAGACUGGAAUUCCUGGUGUAGCGGUGAAAUGCGCAGAUAUCAGGAGGAACACCGAUGGCGAAGGCAGGUCUCUGGGCUGUAACUGACGCUGAGGAGCGAAAGCAUGGGGAGCGAACAGGAUUAGAUACCCUGGUAGUCCAUGCCGUAAACGUUGGGCACUAGGUGGGGGGGACAUUC